rnacentral:rRNA from 1 species
GACGAACGCUGGCGGCAGGCCUAACACAUGCAAGUCGAGCGGACCUUUCGGGGUCAGCGGCGGACGGGUGAGUAACGCGUGGGAAUAUGCCCUUCUCUACGGAAUAGUCCUGGGAAACUGGGGGUAAUACCGUAUAGGCCCUUUGGGGGAAAGAUUUAUCGGGGAAGGAUUAGCCCGCGUUGGAUUAGGUAGUUGGUGGGGUAAUGGCAUACCAAGCCGAGGAUCCAUAGCUGGUUUGAGAGGAUGAUCAGCCACACUGGGACUGAGACACGGCCCAGACUCCUACGGGAGGCAGCAGUGGGGAAUCUUAGACAAUGGGGGCAACCCUGAUCUAGCCAUGCCGCGUGAGUGAUGAAGGCCUUAGGGUUGUAAAGCUCUUUCAGCUGGGAAGAUAAUGACGGUACCAGCAGAAGAAGCCCCGGCUAACUCCGUG